rnacentral:tRNA from 4 species
GCCGCUAUAGCUCAGUUGGCAGAGCAAAGGACUGAAAAUCCUUGUGUCGGGAGUUCGAUUCUCCCUGGCGGCA